AACAUCGCGCACCUGCGGGAACCUGCGGAGGGAUCAUUAUCGAGUUUACAACUCCCAAACCCCUGUGAACAUACCAAUCGUUGCCUCGGCGGGACCGCCCCGGCGCCCCCGGGCCCGGACCCAGGCGCCCGCCGGAGGACCCCCAAACUCACUUGAUUCCACGGUGUAUCUUCUGAGUGACACAAGCAAAUAAAAUCAAAACUUUUAGCAAUGGAUCU
rnacentral:misc_RNA from 1 species